GUAUACAAGCAGACAUGUACACAUGUUGUACUUCCGUACAUGCAUAUGCAUGUUGUACAUCCUGAAUGUUGCCGAACAUGAUGGGUUUCUCUCUAUUUUAUCUGAUUUCACACCACUGACUGGAAAAGACACUUCGCAAACUUGCAUAUAAUCUACAGCCAAGUCAUGAGUGCAGAGUUCCUGAACCCCAGUGUCAUAAUGGACUCCGUCUAUGGGCUCCUGAACCGCAUAGACUACCAGUUUGACGUUCGAAAGAAAACACAACGCCUACAGGAGCUUGCUUACGCCCAUCCAUUUUGGGCAACAUUUAUCGUCAUGUCAUUAGCCGUACUUACAGUUCCCAUUGGUGCCUUUAUAAUGUUUGCUGGAGGAACGAUUGCAUUCACUUUUGUGGGAUUCGUAUUUGUUGAAGGUACCCUGCUCACAAUUGGUGCGAUAUUCAUGAUCGCCAUCCUCAGUGUCCUCGGUUUCAUCAGCAUCAGUUUUGCCGGUUGCGUAUUUGUAAUGUACUUCAUACUAUCGGGAGGACUGACAUUUCUAUCUACAACUUCUGAUAAAAUUAAACGUAAGAUGAACCAACAGAUGCACAAUUCGAGAUCGCACGAAGUGUCGUCAUCCGAGUUGUCCCCUGACAAGCAAGAUAACGGCUUCGUGAAAAAUUGUGGUAUGGGCCAAGAAGGCGAUGGAUCAAUGACGGCUGAUGCUCAAAAAGAUGAAUGAAGGGUCACAGUAUUCUGUUGGUGAUAUCUUUGUGUUCAUUCUGUUAGCUUGAUACUGCUACCUUCAUGCAAGUACAGUAGAACUUUCUAUUUAGGACAGUCGGAGGACUGUCAAAUGCUGUCCUUUAUAGAGAGGUGUCCAUAUUACAGAGGUAAAUUUGUAUACAUGGACAGGGCAGUGACCCAACAGAAAUGUCCACAUACAUUGUACAAUUUGUUGGACAAACAUAUACAGUCUACAUGUAUAAACUGUAAAGUGACAACUUAUUUUCUGCUUUCACACAUCAAAGUUGAUUAACAAUGUGCUUCAAAAUCAGUCCAAGUCUUUGAAAAUGUUCAGAUAUGAUAUUUGUUGAUGCAUACAAAAUGGACUCUAAAUAUUUUUUCUUGUUUAAUUAAUUUGUCUUUUGUUGAAAUAGAAUAUUUUAUGACCCCCCUACUGCCGUAGUGAAUACGUUGUGAGUACUUGUAAAGUGUAACAUUUUUUUAAAAAACCUUUUAUAUUUGAGAAGAGAGUUAAUAAAGGAGUUGAUAUUUGCA